rnacentral:lncRNA from 1 species
UCCUGCAGCAGUUUUCCUGGGCUGCAGUGGAGGCCGAGUCUGUGAUUCUUCUGAGAGAAAACGUCCUGUUCUGAAACAACUAGGCAUCACUCCGCAAGUUUCUUACCCCUUUUCACUAAUGUGGAGAUGCCAGAACUAGAACAGCCAUGUUGGGUCUCACGUUUACCAUGUAAAAAGGAUGACAGAGCCACCUACCAGCCCCGGAUGUCUGCUGACCACUGACUUGUUACCUAAGAGAGAAAUAAACUUUCAUCUUGC